UACGAAGGGGCUAGCGUUGCUCGGAAUCACUGGGCGUAAAGGGUGCGUAGGCGGGUCUUUAAGUCAGGGGUGAAAUCCUGGAGCUCAACUCCAGAACUGCCUUUGAUACUGAAGAUCUUGAGUUCGGGAGAGGUGAGUGGAACUGCGAGUGUAGAGGUGAAAUUCGUAGAUAUUCGCAAAGAACACCAGUGGCGAAGGCGGCUCACUGGCCCGAGUACUGACGCUGAGGCACGAAAGCGUGGGGAGCAAACAGGG
rnacentral:rRNA from 1 species